CACAUAGUUAGCCGUGGCUUCCUCCUUGGUACCGUCAUUAUCGUCCCCAAAGACAGAGCUUUACAACCCGAAGGCCUUCAUCACUCACGCGGCGUUGCUGCAUCAGGGUUUCCCCCAUUGUGCAAUAUUCCCCACUGCUGCCUCCCGUAGGAGUCUGGGCCGUGUCUCAGUCCCAAUGUGGCCGAUCACCCUCUCAGGUCGGCUACGCAUCGUCGCCUUGGUGAGCCGUUACCUCACCAACUAGCUAAUGCGCCGCGGGUCCAUCUUAUAGCGGAUUGCUCCUUUGGUUAUCGAUCCAUGCGAAUCAACAACUUUAUGCGGUUAUUAACUCUUCCUUUCGGAAGGCUAUCCCCCGUCUAUAAGGCAGGUUACCCACGUGUUACUCACCCGUCCGCCGCUAACUCCGUUCCCGAAGGAACCUUCAUCGCUCGACUUGCAUGUGUUAGGCACGCCGCCAGCGUUCGUCCUCGUACGCCACGGACGUCAAACGUC
rnacentral:rRNA from 1 species